rnacentral:rRNA from 1 species
UACAGAGGGUGCGAGCGUUAAUCGGAAUUACUGGGCGUAAAGCGUGCGUAGACGGUUAUUUAAGUCGGGUGUGAAAGCCCGGGCUCAACCUGGGAAUUGCAUUCGAGACUGAAUAGCUAGGGUACGGUAGAGGGAAGUGGAAUUUCCGGUGUAGCGGUGAAAUGCGUAGAUAUCGGAAGGAACAUCAGUGGCGAAAGCGACUUCCGAUGGAC